GGAGUACGCCGGAUGACCGGGGCCAGGUCGGCUCAGGAAAGUCCGGGCUUCACGGGGCAGGGUGCAGGAUAACGUCCUGUCGGGGUGACUCGAAGGAAAGUGCCACAGAAACAUACCGCGGGGAGCCUGCUCUCCGUAAGGGUGAAAUCGCGAGGUAAGAGCUCACGGAGCGCUGCGGUGACGCAGCCUCGGGCAAACCCCACCUGAAGCAAGACUGCUCGACGAAAAUGGACGGCCCGUCCAAACGAGCUACGUCGCAACGAGGCGCUCGGUAACGUGCGUCCCAGAGAGAUGGUCAUCGCCCGCUCGCGGGAACAGAAUCCGGCUUACAGGCGUACUCCGCUU
rnacentral:RNase_P_RNA from 1 species